UACGUAGGGGGCAAGCGUUGUCCGGAUUUAUUGGGCGUAAAGCGCUCGCAGGUGGUUCAUUGCGUCGUGCGUGAAAGACCCCGGCUCAACUGGGGAGGGUCGUGCGAAACGGGUGAACUAGAGGCCAGUAGGGGGAUGCGGAAUUCCGCGUGUAGCAGUGAAAUGCGUAGAUAUGCGGAGGAACACCGAUGGCGAAGGCAGCCCCCUGGGUCAAGAUUGACGCUCAUGCACGAAAGCGUGGGGAGCAAACAGG
rnacentral:rRNA from 1 species